AACGAACGCUGGCGGCAGGCCUAACACAUGCAAGUCGAGCGCCCCGCAAGGGGAGCGGCAGACGGGUGAGUAACGCGUGGGAAUCUACCUGAAGGUACGGAACAACUCCGGGAAACUGGAGCUAAUACCGUAUGUGCCCGAGAGGGGAAAGAUUUAUCGCCUUCAGAUGAGCCCGCGUCAGAUUAGCUAGUUGGUGAGGUAAUGGCUCACCAAGGCGACGAUCUGUAGCUGGUCUGAGAGGAUGAUCAGCCACACUGGGACUGAGACACGGCCCAGACUCCUACGGGAGGCAGCAGUGGGGAAUAUUGGACAAUGGGCGCAAGCCUGAUCCAGCCAUGCCGCGUGAGUGAUGACGGCCUUAGGGUUGUAAAGCUCUUUCGGCGGGGACGAUAAUGACGGUACCCGCAGAAGAAGCCCCGGCUAACUUCGUGCCAGCCGCCGCAGUAAGAC
rnacentral:rRNA from 1 species